rnacentral:rRNA from 1 species
UACGGAGGGUGCGAGCGUUGUCCGGAAUCACUGGGCGUAAAGGGUGCGUAGGCGGUUCCGCAAGUCCUGUGUGAAAUCUUCGGGCUCAACUCGAAGUCUGCACGGGAAACUGCGGGGCUUGAGUGUGGGAGAGGUGAGUGGAAUUCCCGGUGUAGCGGUGAAAUGCGUAGAUAUCGGAAGGAACACCUGUGGCGAAAGCGGCUCACUGGACCACAACUGACGCUGAUGCACGAAAGCGUGGGGAGCAAACAGG